CCAAACGCCAAAAUCAGUAUAUUUCUGUCUCCAGCAGAGCCUCCGUCGAGCAUGCCAUAUUGAUGGGCUCGCCAUCCGCCUCCUCUCGCACACCAAAACUUGGCGUGUCUCUCCCCCACACCAUCCUCCAACCGCCGGUCGCACCCAUGUGCUCCCGCCACUAUCCGGCCUCUCCGGCUUGAAGGGGAUCUCCGCCAAGCCUCCCUUCCUCGGCCCCGCCCCACUCCCCACCUCCCAGAGUACUCCGCCAGCCUCCCCUCCCGCGCUACGCACACUCGUUCAACGCCAUCCCCAAUGUGUCGAUCCUCACCAAUGCCCAGAUGAAUGGAUGAAGCGCGACAGAAAUGGGCGGAUUCAGACCCUCUGAUUUGCUAAAGACAUUGCUGCCCCAGCUAGAUCCCCUGACUGAACAGCAACUGAUUUGCAUCUCUACAACCUUCAAGAGUCAUCACAACAGGAAGCAUUAUGCGCUUUUCAGUUUCAGAAUGCUGAAAUCAUUAUGUGGAAAUCAUGCUUGAACUGAAAAUCAUGGUUCUAUCAUUUGUUUGCUGAA